CUGUUUUUGUUGACUCAGGUUUCCUUGAGCAACAAGUAACCGACCAAGUAAUAUCCGUUUGUUGGGAAUAUCUAUAAAGCAAGACUCUAAAGGCUGCAUCUAAAAAAGCAAUUGGACGCAAUUGUUGUUUAUUAAUGUAAUCCACUAUCGAUUUACUUAAUUUGGGAUUUAAAAUUUUCUUUAAAGAAUUGGAUUUAACAGUUAAAGACAAAUCUUGGUUAAUGUAAUCAACUGGAAGAUUAACCAAAGCAAGACCAGACAGUUUCUGUUUCCACCAAGCAACAGCUUUUUCAUUUUGACCAAUCACGUCACAACCUUUAAGCUUACAAUUAUCCAUAAUUUUUGCUCGUAAAAUAGAUUUUACUGAAAAAAAAAGUGAAAUUGCUUGAUCAAUAGUCAACUGUUUUUAGUCUACAAUUUAAACAAACUAACAAAUAUGAUUAAAAGUGGAAUCAAGAUUGACCAAAAUUAUCGAUGCCAAUUUUACGGUCACCAUUUGUUUAUAAAAUUUCCUGAACUGAUCAGAUACAGUGGAUUUGUGCAAUCAAAUCAGUUCCAGAUUAUGGAUGAUGGACGACUUUUACCCAUUUUCAGGUUCACCUAUACUUAAUGUGCCAUCAAUUUAAUAAAAGUUACAACUGGAUGAUUUGUGAGCUUUAAGGAUAUUCACAAACAUAUUUUAUACCCAAACCCAAAGGAGUAUAAACUACAAUUUGCUGAUCAUGUAACAAUAGAUGAUAAUGUUUUCCAGGAAAAUCUAUUUUCUGGUUAAUUUGUUGAAAUAUGCUGUUACAACCAGUUGCUUUCAAAACAUCAACAUCGAUGAUCCAAAGGAACGUCAACUUGCAACUGGGCAAAUUUAUCUGAUUGUUACCAUUUGGAUAAUCUUGAUUGGCUUUGCUUUUUUCAUACUUCACCGAUGCUUCUUUGAAUCAUCACCUACAUCUUCAAUUAACCGGAAUGAAGAGGCUUCCACCAAAACAUCGGAUGGUCCAAGCAGUCAAGCCAAACCAGAGACGAGUUCAAAUCUUAAAAUCUUGAAAUCAAACAAAGCUUCAGAGAGCGUACAAAAUUUCCCUUCAAAGGCAACAAUGGAUUCAAGUGUUGCCGACACAUUUAAAAGGAUAUCAAAAGGUAACCCUAAAACUGACGCUAAAGGUUUGACUUCACCAAAAGAGCGCCCACUUAAUAUCGAAAGCCAUUCAAGUGAAGAUGUAAAACUCAAGAUUAUUGAUGAAACGAAGGUGAAUUCAAAAGGAAAUUAAAGAAUCAAAAGAAAAUCAAAAUUAAAUCAAGAUUAAAUCAAAAUGUACCCAAAGUGUUGCUUUUAAAUGUGAAAACAAAAGGAACCCAUUUUUACAAGUGAAAUUUGAGAGUUUAAUUUCAACCGAAUUUUACAUUUCAAUUAUUGAUUACAGAAUGAUUUUCAAUGUUUAAGGAUCAAUUAGGUAAAUUGUUGGCAAGCAAAAGACUGUUGAUGUUUAUUACAAUGAUAAUUUGGAUAAAUUGAUUUUCUUUCUUCUGUUUCUUCAUUUAUUUGCAUAUCAAUGUAUAUGAUUUGAGAUGAAUGGAGGAAGAAAAAUUUACACAAUUAAAAGCACAAUUAAAGGUUAAAGUUGAGUAUUGAAGGAAUCAUUUGUUUGAUUGUUUGCAUUAAAUCAUGAUAUAAUAGUGAUAAUACUCUUGGAUUAUCAAGUGAAACAGGGAAAGAAAAACAAAAGAAAUUGAAUUGAGCUCAAAGACAGAAAUGAAUGUUGGAAUGAAAAAUUGUAAAAUAAAAGGGAAAAUUUGAAUCACAUUUAUUAAUCAAAUGAUUGACAUAGCGUUUAAAGGUUAUAAUUGAUUCAUGAUUUGCGUUUUUUUGAUUAAAAUUGAAACAAAUGAUUGCACUCUUUACAUGUUAAUUUAUCGCAGGCUUAGCUAAGAAGAUUUCAAUUGUUGAUUUGAAUCAAAAAAGAGAGAAAUGUUCAAUGGAUUACAAUAACGAUUGGAAGGUUUUUUUUUCAUUGAUUUUAAUUGUGAUUGGAAAUGAAGAAAUAAGCAAAAACUUUGAUGUUAAUUGUUUCGAUGACAAUGUUGUUAAGGAACUCUAAAUGGUACAAUGUUGUUGGGUUAUUUGGAAACGAUUAAUCAACAAUAAUCAACAUUAUUGCAAGAUUUGUGUAGCUUACAAUCAUUUGUGUGUUUUUCAUGCGUUUUAAAUCUAAAUAAUCCUGACUUUGGAUCUAAACUAUCGUUAAUGAUAAUAUUGUAUUGCAAUGAAUUAAUUUGAAUGCAUUCAAUUGAGUAAAAUAAGGUAAAAGGUAAAAUUUGUUAAAUCUCAAGAUCCAUUGGGUUGAUGGAUUGCAAACGGUUAAACUGUUUCUUAAAGAGGCCUUUAGGAAGGUUUAACAUUUGAUUAUUGUUUUAAACUAAUUGAAACAAUUAUUACUUUUAAUCUGUAAGCUGAGCUUUUGAUUAAGAUUGUUAUUUACAUUUUAUUGUCUCAAUAAAUUAAAAUAAAAAGCAAGCGAUGAGAAGCUAAAAGUCAUUCAAUUAGUUUGGGUUAACAUGAAGAUUUGGGUUUGUGUUUGGCUUCAAGAUUUAAGUUAAACUUUUGGUUGACUUGAAGAUGAGUCGAGUUUUAAUGAUUACAGUUGAUUGUGAUUUUUGUUGCUUUCUUUUAGUUGAAUUACAAUUCUUGAUUCUCGUCUUUUCUCGAUGCUUUUUGCUUUCCAUUGAUCAUCUAUUAUAAGUAAUUUGUUCAAUGUCGACGAUGAUUAUGAUUAUAAUGAUUAUGUUAAACUGUUAUGAUUUUGAUCCUUUUAUAUGAUUGAUUUGGAUUCCUUUAUUUUGGUGUGUUUGUCAUCUCAUCCAUUUUGUGUGUGAUGUGUGUUUGGAUGCAUGUGUAUGUUUGGGUAUUUAUCUAACCCUGAUUAACAAUAAUCUAUUGAAUAGGUUUAACAGGUGUCAAUGGAUCAAUCAUGAUGAUGCUGAUGAAAACACAUGUUGAUUGUGAAAUGAAAAG